AAGGGAACUUCGAAGUUCAGUCAACAACUUCAUCGUCUCUCGCUCAUAGACCAACUGGACCACUCUGUUCUUCUCACCAAGGCCUGGUCAUGAUGUCUAAUACAACUUGUCUCCCUGCAAACUCUACCACAGACUGCCUAGACCCAGCUUCUUUUAGUUUUUCUGUGGGAUAUGCUGUGGGUCUUCCUCUGUUCUUCAUAGUUCUGGUAGGAGUGAUUGCGCUGAUCUAUACCAAGCGCAGUAAAUUGGGGAAUAUGUGGCAGUUAGAUCAACUCAAGAGCACAGAGGUCAACACACGUCAGCUUGAGGGUUCCCAAUACACGGCCAUGGUCAGACCACCACCCACUGAUCAUAGCCCUAUCUACGAGAACUUCACUGACUCCAACAAGACAACCAUCAACAUGAACAGGUCACCCGUUGAACCUGAGGACAUAUAUCUGCAGUGUGAUUUACCCGAUGAUGCAAUUUACGGCAACGACAUGUCCUGUAGCCUGGCCAUACUGCCUCCUGACACUGAAGAGGAAGAUAUUUAUAUAAUGCCAGACGUUCUAUAGUUACAGCCAUAAAGAUGACCCUAUUCAAAUCCAAACGGAGUCAUAUUUUUGUUGGACAGGAAGAGGAAUCAAAGGAGCCAAUAUGUUCUGGUGGCUUUUAUGUUUUAUCCACCUCUGAAGGAAACUUGGCCAUAUUGACAAAAACAUUUGUCAUAAUUAGAUUUUUUUGCUUUGUUUGACAAAAGUAUGUUAUUGUACAUAUUUUAGUAAGUGCCUGCUAGGUUCAGUACAGUGCAACAACUUUUUGGGGCAAAUUUAAAUAUAAGUAGCAGUUUAGCCCAAAAUGUAAAAAAAACAUUUUUACAGUGAACUUUUUCACUCUGUAGUUAGGGAGAAGUCAAAAUAGACCCAAUUGUUACCCGGAGGGGCGUGUUGCCUAAAAGAUUGGCUGUGCUGUGGGUAAUUAGGAGUUUUUUACUCCUUUGGUCUAGGCAAGUAUUUAUGAGUCCUCACUGUCCGAGACCGGGUCAAGACCGAGUCCAAAUGUAUCAGACACCGAGACACUCAAUAUGUGGUCUGGAGACAGUACUCGAGACCGGUCAACAAGACUGCUGUACAGUGCCUUCAGAAAGUAUUCACACCCCUUGACUUUUUCCACAUUGUGUUGUGUUACAGCCUGAAUUUAAAAUGGAUGUAGACUUUUUAUCAUUGGCCUACACACAAUAUCCCAUAAUGGGGGGGAAGAAGCCUUUGACUCGCCUCCUGAAGUGGCAGUGUCAGCUUCCAUUCAGUCCAGUGUUGCCAUUUUGUGUUUUUUUUGCCAAAUUUUGCAACUUUGAAAACAAUGUUGCAGGUGGCAGAUUUUUGGCGGUACUUCUAAAUUGCACCGUGACCGCCAUGGCAUUUCUCUUAAAAAUAUAUACAUAUAUAGACAGAGCACUUUGUGACCACUUUUUAACAGUUGUAGGUAGGCUAUUUAGAUUGGUCAUUAUGGAGGCACACUUUUUCCAUAAGACAUAUAUUAACAUGCUAGAACAGCAACAAAGCAUUGGAAAACGACUUUAGGCGCUCUAGAGCUGUUUAGAUAAGUUUGUUCAGAGGUGGUUUAAAGUAAACUGCAUUCUUAUGUCGACUUUUUUCAUGGAUAACCAUAUCAAGCGAAGGGUUUUACUCAUGCUCAGUUCCAGGGUCUGGAGCACUGCGCAAGUGGAAAUUUGAAAUGGAAGUUAAUGGAACACCCUCGCAUGCUUCUGUUAUGGGAAGAAGUCCACAUUGAAAAUUACAUUCAAUGUGGAGAAUGAUAGGCUACAUUUGCAUCUGUUGACCAUCAAGGACACUGUUCAUUUCUAUUCUAUUUUAGGCUACUGUAGCCUUCCACUUGAAACAAUAAAUAUGUUGAAAUGACUAUAUCACUGGAGUCAUUGCAAAUCAAUUUGUGUCACUUAUGUAGCCUACCUGGAGCAAAUGUAUCAUUCUCCAUAUUUAAUGUCAGUUUCAUUGUGGACUUUUCCCUGAAAUUUUAUGUUGGCAUGUUGGCCUAUCGUGGGCUAUAGACUACCUGCAUUUAUCUCAGUUAACCACGGCAAACCACGUCAAUAUUCCUUCUUAAUACACUCAAUAACGUUAUGGAAAAAGUGUUUAUUGGAUAAAUGUGGCAAGUCCUCUUUUGCUGCAAAAAAUUAUUUGGGCUAGUUUUCAGGCCUUGUGGGUGGGUUUUCCGAGAUCACUGUGCUAGAAAUUUUAGUCAGACCUGGCAACCCUGAUUUAGUCAGGGCAUAAAACCACUUCGCUAGGCCAAAUAUAUACACUCCUUUCUCGGAACAUUAAUAUCUUAACAGCCUUAUCUAUUAUAGACAUGUUUGCACACUGGUGAACCUUCGGUGUGUGACAGGUUUGUGAUUCUGAAAGGACAGCAACCGUAAUACCAGUGCUCUCAUGUAGGAGACUGCACUUUUUGUAAAAACAAAAAGGUCCAGUGGUGUAGUGGAGGGUAUACGCAGGUAUAAACCCAACACAUUCUCACACUCAAUUCAUGCAAAUAUGUACAAAUAGAAUUUCAGCAGAUUUUGUGUGUUAUUGUGUGGCUUAAUUUGUGUGAAAAGACACACAUUUUUGUGCGACUUCAUUCAUAGGAAAAUACAUUUUUGGGGGACAAACUUAGGAACAAUCUUUUGAAAGUUAUUAGAGCAAUGCAUGAUGGUGUUGUUCUACACUGCCUUUUUUUGUGUCCCACAUUUAUUAAUAUAAAAAACAAAUGUGUUAACAACAAAAUCUUGUUAAUCAACCAGGUUGUCACCUAAAUAACUCUAAUAUAAUAGUAGCCUUGUUGUUUUUUUAUUUGUAUUAAUGCCAAUGCUGUUUUCUAUGCUUGUUUUCACAUAAUUCUUUGGAAUACUUGUGCUAUGUCGGAUUUUAUGAGGGUCGCCAAAUUGGAGUAAAAAGCUUUAUUUGUC